rnacentral:tRNA from 1 species
UCCUUGGUAGUCCAGUGGUUAAGACUCCAUGCUUCCAAAGCAGGGGGCCCAGGUUCAGUUCCUGGUUGGGGAA